UACGGAAGGGGCGAGCGUUGUUCGGAAUCAUUGGGCGUAAAGGGCGCGUAGGUGGUUCUGUGUGUCUACUGUGAAAGCGUACGGCUCAACCGUAUUUAGUCGGUAGAAACUGCAGGACUUGAGGCUGGGAGGGGCUGGUGGAAUUCCCUGUGUAGCGGUGAAAUGCGUAGAGAUGGGGGAGAACACUCGUGGCGAAGGCGGCCAGCUAGACCAGCUCUGACACUGAGGCGCGAUAGCGUGGGGAGCAAACAGG
rnacentral:rRNA from 1 species